AUUCAUAUGCUUAGAUUUUUCUUUCUUAAUAGGCUGAUAUGACCAUGUUAGAAGACGAACUACCAACAAAAAGAUGACUUUCAUCAGCCCUUGUCAAGGUAUAUUGAGAUGAUUUCUUUGGAGCAAUUCUUGACAACAUUUGUAGUUAAGGCCUUUAGAAUGGAAGAAUGUAUUUCACUAAUUUUUGUAUACAUUUCUUGUUUUGUAUUUAGUGAUAAAGGAAUUAGAAUUGGGCAUAAAUUAUGCUGUAAUAUGAUUUCUUAAGCCUAGACUAGUAGACUAAAUAUUGUAAUUACAUUUGAGUAAUUAAUAAAAAUCUAUUUAUGUUA